GAUGAACGCUAGCGGGAGGCCUAACACGUGCAAGUCGAGCGAUGAAAUUCCCUUCGGGGAAUGGAUUAGCGGCGGACGGGUGAGUAACACGUGGGCAACCUGCCUCAAAGUGGGGAAUAGCCCUCCGAAAGGAGGAGUAAUACCGCAUAACAUGGUAAAAUCGCAUGAUUUAAUCAUUAAAGAUUUAUCGCUUUGAGAUGGGCCCGCGGCGCAUUAGCUAGUUGGUAAGGUAAUGGCUUACCAAGGCGACGAUGCGUAGCCGACCUGAGAGGGUGAUCGGCCACAUUGGAACUGAGAUACGGUCCAGACUCCUACGGGAGGCAGCAGUGGGGAAUAUUGCGCAAUGGGGGAAACCCUGACGCAGCAACGCCGCGUGGGUGAUGAAGGUCUUCGGAUUGUAAAACCCUGUCUUUGGGGACGAUAAUGACGGUACCCAAGGAGGAAGCCACGGCUAACUACGUGCCAGCCGCCGCAGUAACAC
rnacentral:rRNA from 1 species